CGAGGCAAAUCAUCACAGAACCUGGAAAUACAAGCCUGAGCGGUCUAAAGGGUUUCGGCAUAUGAAUCAAAUCAAUGGCGGGACUUCACAACAAAAAUAAAGACGCAACAAAGCAACUGGGAACGAUCAAGGUCACCAAACCGACCGUCAUUUCCGAACUAACAAAUGUCCUUUGUCUGAAAAGUUGAAACAGGUGUAAUCCAAGACAACCGUGCAAGAAGCAGGUGUCGCCCAAAGAAGAAGAUACAUGGGUACAAGAAAUAUUUUGGCAACAAGGAAUUCACUCGAAAGGUAAGUUUCCACGAAACUCCCUUUUAUCUUCUACUAAAACAGGAAAAUUCAAAAAAAGAGGUUGCUUAGUAUUCUCGAACUUUGUCCCCAGCCAGCAAGCAUUAGGGUUUUAAACCCUAAACUGAACUUUUUCCAUGCAAUCAGCAUUAGGGUUUUAAACCCUAAACUGAAUUUUCCUUUAGUCAGCAUUAGGGUUUUAAACCCUAAACUGAACUUUUUUCCUUUAGUCAGCAUUAGGGGUUUAAACCCUAAAGUGAACUUUUUUCCUUUAGACAGCAUUAAGGUUUUAAACCCUAAACUGAACUUUUUUCCCUUCAGCCAGCAUUAGGGUUUUAAACCCUAAACUGAGCUUUUCCAUGCAAUCAGCAUUAGGGUUUUAAACCCUAAACUGAAUUUUCCCUUUAGUCAGCAUUAGGGUUUUAAACCCUAAACUGAAUUUUUCCUUUAAUCAGCAUUAGGGUUUUAAACCCUAACUAAACUUUUUUCCAUUCAGCCAGCAUUAGGGUUUUAAACCCUAAACUGAGCUUUUCCAUGCAAUCAGCAUUAGGGUUUUAAACCCUAAACUGACCUUUUUCCUUUAAUCAGCAUUAGGGUUUUAAACCCUAAACUAACCUUUUUCCUUUAAUCAGCAUUAGGGUUUUAAACCCUAAACUGAACUUUUUUCCAUUCAGCCAGCAUUAGGGUUUUAAACCCUAAACUGAACUUUUUUCCAUUCAGCCAGCAUUAGGGCUUUAAACCCUAAACUGAGCUUUUCCAUGCAAUCAGCAUUAGGGUUUUAAACCCUAAACUGAACUCUUUUCCUUUCAGCCAGCAUUAGGGUUUUAAACCCUAAACUGAAC
rnacentral:lncRNA from 1 species